GAUGAACGCUGGCAGAAUGCCUAAUACAUGCAAGUCUUUGGCACAGCCGUGCUUCCUCCGCCUAUGCAAGGAGCGCCGGAUGGGUAAGCAAAACGUAGUUACCCUACCUAUAAGGCUGACAGAACGGAAGGAAACCGAAGAUCAUGUCAAAUGAUGCGGUGACCCGCACAGUCCAAUAAAAAGAGAUGCUCUAGGAGAGGCUUGCAUCCGGAUAGGCUCUUGGUGGGGUAACGGCCCACCAAGGGGCUGAUAGGUACCCGGCCUGAGAGGGGUGACGGCCACAAGGGGACUGAGAUACGGCCCUGAGUCCUACGGGAGGCAGCAGUGGGGAAGAUUGGACAAUGGGGGCAAACCUGAUCCAGCAAUUGUGUGUGAACGAUGAAGGUUUUCGGAUUGUAAAGUGCUUUCAGCAGGGAAGAAAAAAUGACGGUACCUGCAGAAGAAGCGACGGCUAAAUACGUG
rnacentral:rRNA from 1 species